rnacentral:rRNA from 1 species
GCUUGUCUCAAAGAUUAAGCCAUGCAUGUCUAAGUAUAAGCACCCUUAUACUGCGAAACUGCGUACAGCUCAUUAUAUCAGCAAUUAUUUAUUUGAAGGUCACCUAUUACAUGGAUAACCGUGGUAAUUCUAGAGCUAAUACAUGCGAAAAAACCCAGACUUACGAAUGGGUGCACUUAUUAGAUAAAGCCAACGCUGGGUAAAACCAGUUUCCCUUGGUGAUUCAUAAUAAUUAAGCGGAUCGCAUGGCCUUGUGCUAGCGACAGUCCACUCGAUUUUCUGCCCUAUCAUGGUUGAGAUUGUAAGAUAGAGGCUUACAAUGCCUACAACGGGUAACGGGGAAUUAGGGUUCGAUUCCGGAGAGGGAGCCUGAGAAACGGCUACCACAUCCAAGGAAGGCAGCAGG